rnacentral:rRNA from 1 species
UGAAUUUCGGGGUUAGGGGGCCGGUCGUGCCAAUGGUACGUACUCCUUGACCAGAUUCUUCCCUUCUGACGAACCGUGAUGUCAUUAACUUGGUGUUACGGGAAAUCAGGACUGUUACUUUGAAAAAAUUAGAGUGUUUAAAGCAGGCUCACGCUUGAAUACAUUAGCAUGGAAUAAUGAAAUAGGACGUUCGAUCCUAUUUUGUUGGUUUCUAGGAUCAACGUAAUGAUUAAUAGGGAUAGUUGGGGGCAUUAGUAUUCAAUUGUCAGAGGUGAAAUUCUUGGAUUUAUUGAAGACUAACUACUGCGAAAGCAUUUGCCAAGGAUGUUUUCAUUAAUCAAGAACGAAAGUUAGGGGAUCGAAGACGAUCAGAUACC